rnacentral:rRNA from 1 species
UUAACGGAGAGUUUGAUCCUGGCUCAGGACGAACGCUGGCGGCGUGCCUAAUACAUGCAAGUCGAACGAGGAGCAGGGUGCUUGCACCCUGCAGCCGAGUGGCGAACGGGUGAGUAACACGUGACCAACCUGUCCUCGAGUGGGGGACAACCUGGGGAAACCUGGGCUAAUACCGCAUACCGCCCCGCGGUCGGAUGGCUGCGGGAUGAAAGGAGGCCUCUACUUGUAAGCUUCCGCUUGAGGGGGGGGUCGCGGCGUAUCAGCUAGUUGGUGGGGUAACGGCCCACCAAGGCGACGACGCGUAGCGGGUCUGAGAGGACG